CCAAUAGAAACUCUCGUUUUCUUUUAAACAGUUUCCUUUGCAAAACGUUUCGCAACAGACGAAACGUUUUGAAACUGAAUUUUAAACUAAUGAAUACACCAGUGAUAAUGGGCCAGAUUUGAUAUUCAUGUAGGCUACACAGCUGACCAAGUUUUGUCACAUGCUUGUUGUUGUUCUGGUAGCCUAGUGUUUUUUUGAAUGGUCUGCACUCGAUGUAAACCUCUCUCCCAAUUCAGAGGCAUCGGAAUAAUAUUGUCUAGCUUCGGAUUUGUAAUUACAUGAUUCUUACAAUUAUUUAGGGCGUUUGACUCGAACGAUCGCGACGCGAAGGGGAGUCAAUCAAAUACGCAUUGCGUCCCUUAUUUACCAACAUGACUGAGGAUAAACAAAGCGUCACCGAGGAAAAUUUACAGGGUUCCUGGGUGGAGCUGCACUUUAACAAUGGCAGCAGUGGUGGCUCACCAGCGCAUGGGGCUGCUGGGGUGGAGGAAGAGCAGGUGUCAGGCUCUGCCACUGAGGUACCAGGCUCUGGGUCAGGUGCCUCUGCCUCAGUCCACGGCGGAGACCUGAUGACUGCGUCGGUCCUGCCUGGGUCUCUCUCUGCCUCUACCCAGGGAGGUGACCUGAUUCCUGGGUCAGGUGCCUCUGCCUCAGUCCACGGCGGAGACCUGAUGACGGCGUCGGUCCUGCCUGGGUCUCUCUCUGCCUCUACCCAGGGAGGUGACCUGAUUCCUGGGUCAGGUGCCUCUGCCUCAGUCCAUGGCGGAGACCUGAUGACUGCGUCGGUCCUGCCUGGGUCUCUCUCUGCCUCUACCCAGGGAGGUGACCUGAUUCCUGGGUCAGGGUCAGUCCAGGGAGGGGUGGACUUGGAGAAGAUGUUGUUAGACGCCCAGCACGAGUCAGGGAGAAGCAGCUCCAGGGGCAGUGUGCCCUGCGACAGUCCUCCAAGACCCCAGACUCCUUUGCUCCGCCGGGGUUCAGAAGGACACAGCUCAGGAGAGAAGAACAGCUCACAGUCUGAAGAAGACUACCUAGAACGGAGACGUGAAGUGGAGAACCUGAUGAAGAAGAACGCAGACUGGAUCUGGGACUGGUCGAGUAGACCUGAGAACAUUCAACGCAAGGAGUUUGUGCUGAAGCAUCCUAAACGCUCCAACCCGCUCAGCAUCAGAAACACCAGCGUCAUGAAGAGCGGAGGUAUCUUCUCUGCCGAGUUCCUCAAGGUCUUCCUUCCGUCUCUGCUCAUAUCCCACGUACUGGCCGUCGGUCUGGGAUACCAGGGGCAGCAGGUAGCCUAGCGGUUAGAGGGGCGAGCCAGCAACCGGUGGCCAGUUCGAAUCCCGGGUCCGACGGGAGUAAUCUGUUGGGAAGGUGUACAUUGGGAGACGUCUAACUACCUCCGUGACCAAUACCUUCUAAAGGGGCAGUCCACUGGACUGGAACAACAUGGUUUUUUGUUGCACCAACACCAUUAUUAUCUACCACUGCUGCUUGGCUUGAAGUGAUGCUUAUUAGAUACCGAUAGGCAACAUCAGUCAUGUGUCCCCCAGCCCCACUGCCCUAGAGGUCUCAAGUGGCACCCUAUUCCCUACAUAGUGCACUACUUUUGACCAGUUCCCAUAUGGGCUCUGGUCAAAAGUAGUGCACUAUAUAGGGAUUAGGGUGCCAUUUGGGACGCUAUCCCCUUUUUUUCCCCUGGCGGUGAGCCGCCCUGCCUGUAUCCGUAUUGCACCCCUGUGAAUACUGUUGGCUUUUCCCUUAGUUCCCAGGGCUGCUUUUACAACCCAGUGUUCCUCUUCCAUCUCACUGGACUAUCUCUGGGUAAGGGGGGGGGCCAUCUUAUGAUCAACGUUUAAGAGCCAUCGUUGUCCUCAGCUAGCUAGCGUUCAGUCAAGUCACUUUCAAGCCAUUUUUGUCUUGUUACGAGUUGAGAAUUUUUUUUUUGUAGAAGACCUUUUGAGAUAAUGAUAUUAAAAUGACGAUACAGGAAAGCACUGUGAAUUUCUCAGCAUUGAGAUAUGUAUGGGACAGAAAGGGAAUGGGUUAGACAAAAGCUGGAAGUUGAAACUGGAAGUUGAAUUUGAGGGGGCUGUUGCUUGUAAGAUGAUGACGUAGUGAUUGUUUUAUCAAAUGUCCUUGGUUGGGGAAAAGGGAUCGAGACAUUCAACCAAAAUGUUAUUUCUGACCCUGAUUCUUCUCAUGGAUCAUGAGGCCUUAAUAAUAAAACAAGGUGUCAGCAGAAAUUGAAAAAAGGUAUGAAAUAGAUAAACCCUGAAAUAAGAGUUUUUGGAUGUAUUGAAGAAUCAAGGUAUGGGGUAUCUUCCAUCAGAUCCCAGAUUAGGUCAAAACAGGAGCGUAAGGAUUUUGGUUCUGUCGGCACCUUUCAGUUUGUUGGUGUUACCUUUCACUCAGGGUUGUUUUCAGUGACAACAAUGUGUCACAUUCACUGAAUAUGGAUGUGUACGGUUAGAAUUGCACAUGGUGUACAUUAGGAUGUGGCGCCAAAUGUAAACCAAAACUGUUGUAUGGUUGGUGGCAUUUAAAUUGCCUUGUGAUAUUGGCUGCAUGACAAUUUGAAAUACACAAACAGCUUUUCUACCACUAUUGCAUAAGACCACAAAUCUCCAAAUCAAAUAUUUAGGGGGAAAAUAUUCACUUUCACACUUGGAAUUAUGAGUGAAUUUAGAAAUAUUUUGUGUCUUCCUUAUACUUUACUGAAUUAAGUCCCAAAUCUCAGUGCCCAGAACGCUUCAGUAUUUUUGUUCUAAUGAAGAGCAACAGAGAACCUUCUGUGUUUUGACUGUUCUAUGCCAAGUCUUGAAAAGGCAUUACCAAUCUGUUUCUGCACGUCUUGUAGAGCUGCUCAUCAUGUCAAGUGUAUAUGUGACUUUGGAAACGGUUUUGUAUGAACAGUUGGAACUGUAUCUGAAAAAUAAAAUGGUUCCAUCUUAAGAAUA